ACGAACGCUGGCGGCGUGGAUAAGACAUGCAAGUCGAACGAGAGAAUUGCUAGCUUGCUAAUAAUUCUCUAGUGGCGCACGGGUGAGUAACACGUGAGUAACCUGCCCCCGAGAGCGGGAUAGCCCUGGGAAACUGGGAUUAAUACCGCAUAGUAUCGAAAGAUUAAAGCAGCAAUGCGCUUGGGGAUGGGCUCGCGGCCUAUUAGUUAGUUGGUGAGGUAACGGCUCACCAAGGCGAUGACAGGUAGCCGGUCUGAGAGGAUGUCCGGCCACACUGGAACUGAGACACGGUCCAGACACCUACGGGUGGCAGCAGUCGAGAAUCAUUCACAAUGGGGGAAACCCUGAUGGUGCGACGCCGCGUGGGGGAAUGAAGGUCUUCGGAUUGUAAACCCCUGUCAUGUGGGAGCAAAUUAAAAAGAUAGUACCACAAGAGGAAGAGACGGCUAACUCUGUGCCAGCAGCCGCGGUAAUACAGAGGUCUCAAGCGUUGUUCGGAAUCACUGGGCGUAAAGCGUGCGUAGGCUGUUUCGUAAGUCGUGUGUGAAAGGCGCGAGCUCAACCCGCGGACGGCACAUGAUACUGCGAGACUAGAGUAAUGGAGGGGGAACCGGAAUUCUCGGUGUAGCAGUGAAAUGCGUAGAUAUCGAGAGGAACACUCGUGGCGAAGGCGGGUUCCUGGACAUUAACUGACGCUGAGGCACGAAGGCCAGGGGAGCGAAAGGGAUUAGAUACCCCUGUAGUCCUGGCAGUAAACGGUGCACGCUUGGUGUGCGGGGAAUCGACCCCCUGCGUGCCGGAGCUAACGCGUUAAGCGUGCCGCCUGGGGAGUACGGUCGCAAGAUUAAAACUCAAAGAAAUUGACGGGGACCCGCACAAGCGGUGGAGUAUGUGGCUUAAUUCGAUGCAACGCGAAGAACCUUACCUGGGCUUGACAUGUAAUGAACAACAUGUGAAAGCAUGCGACUCUUCGGAGGCGUUACACAGGUGCUGCAUGGCCGUCGUCAGCUCGUGUCGUGAGAUGUUUGGUUAAGUCCAGCAACGAGCGCAACCCCUGUUGCCAGUUACCAGCACGUGAAGGUGGGGACUCUGGCGAGACUGCCCAGAUCAACUGGGAGGAAGGUGGGGACGACGUCAGGUCAGUAUGGCCCUUAUGCCCAGGGCUGCACACGUACUACAAUGCCCAGUACAGAGGGGGCCGAAGCCGCGAGGCGGAGGAAAUCCUGAAAACUGGGCCCAGUUCGGACUGUAGGCUGCAACCCGCCUACACGAAGCCGGAAUCGCUAGUAAUGGCGCAUCAGCUACGGCGCCGUGAAUACGUUCCCGGGUCUUGUACACACCGCCCGUCACAUCAUGGAAGCCGGUCGCACCCGAAGUAUCUGAAGCCAACCGCAAGGAGGCAGGGUCCUAAGGUGAGACUGGUAACUGGGAUG
rnacentral:rRNA from 1 species